GCCGCUUGGAGGGGAGCUGCGAAACGAUCGCAGCGCGCGGGGUGGCGAGUAGUGAGUUGAGCCAGCGUGUGUUGUGAUAGCAUUUUGUAGCAUUUUGUAUGAGAAACAAUUGACGGUAUGUGGAAUUACACUUGUUGUGUUGUUAACUGCAAAAAUAACGGUAAAACUAGUGAUUGUAUAUUUUACAAGUUUCCAACUGCAUCACAUAAAAUAGUUCAAAGGCAAAAAUGGAUUGCUGCUGUGAAAAGAAAAAAAAAAAAUCAGAUGAUCCUGCGAGUCCAAGCUACGCGCCAACUCUAUUCCCUCCAGUUUA
rnacentral:lncRNA from 1 species